rnacentral:snRNA from 1 species
GUGCUCAUUCCAGCAACCCAUAUACUACAACUGGGAUGACACAGAAAUGAUCAGCAUGGCCCAUGCACAGACAUAACAUACAAAUUCACAAAGCAUUCCACAUUAAA